ensembl:lncRNA
UGGGUGGAUAGGUUCUGGUUGUGUGAUUCUAGAGCCAAAUAUAAAGAGCCAAAGGGCUUCUAGAUGAAAAUCAGCUCUGCUAGACUUAUGUUAUAUAUAUACUUAAAUUUUGUGACAACAUUUUUGACAGGUCAAAUACAGAUUGUAAUGACUGGAAAUUUACCAGUUUUGUUUUCAACUUCUUGAGCUUCCUAGGAGACCAGUUAUAUAGAACAACUAAAAGAGCAUCUCAAUUUCUAGAUGACCUCACGUUGGUGGUAGAGUCAAAAAGCCCUUCUAGAAGAGUCGGGCGGUUUCUUAACCCUGGCUGCCCAUUAGAAACACUUGGAAGCUUUUAACAAUUAUGAUGUUCUAGCCCCACCUGAACCCAAUUAAUAUAGAACACUGGGGAGUGGGGCCAGGGCAAAGGGCCCAGGGCAGUUUUAUAAGUGCCCUGGGUGAUUCUAAUUUUCAAUUAGGGUUAAAAAAAGCUAACACUGGGGUAUAACCUUUUGCUUUAACCCUUCAUCUUUUGAUCAGACUCAGAAGUGACAAUGUUAGAACAAAGAUGCUAACAGCUAACAUUUCAAAUCAAACCUUAGGCAUCAUUUAAAGCCAACGCAUCCUUAAAGACCCCAAGGGAAGGAGUAAAGAUGGAAAGAGCAAAGAUAUAUGGCUGGAGGGAUGAAAGAUCUUCUCUCCAGCAAGGCCCAACACAGCUGGCUGCCAGGUUCCAGGCAGCGGCACAGACGCACAGAUGCAGAAGGCACUUGGAGCCACAGGAAGCUUACAGUCGGGUCCUUGACCGGGUCUUCCUGUCGUCCUGCGCUCAGAUCCUUCACUGUCCUACUGCAGUUUUACAACCUAGCAGAAGGAAGUUCUUGAAAGCAUCGCUCUUUGUCCUCAGAGAGAUGAGUGAUCCUCAUCCUCAGGCAUCCUGUCUGAUGCUGACAAGCACUUGAUGACAAUGAGGAAAGCCAGCCUGAGCGGGAUGCUGAGACAUGAAGAGAAGACUAGGUAACAGAAUCUCAGAAUGAAGCUGAAGAGGCAUUCUAUCCAUGGACAAAUUUCUAUAACAUCAUCUCUGAAAACUGUGGAUUAAUGGGGGGGAAAAAAGGAAAUAGGUGUAAUUUCAAGAGAUACCCAAAGGAAUGCAUAAAUAAUGCCUACCAAAGUCAUGUACUGGAACAGUACAUAAUUUGUUUGGAAACCAGUGCCAAUGGGUUAAGAGUCUGUUAUCAGUCUGAGAAGAGGAGAAAUAUACCAAAAUACCCAUAAAGCAGCAUAUAUAAAACAACUGUUACAUAAAUAAAGCACAUACUCUACACUGAGAAGAUUACAGGAAAUGUGAAGAACUGUUAAUACAACGGAUUAAUGGAGCUUGAUAGAAGCUUAGGAAAUCUUCUCCACAGCCCCUGCCUUUGGGCAGCACACAUCUAAACCAUCUACAAUGGUUCACGGUCUGUGCUUCUCCACAGCCUCCCAGUGUGCAGACACCAGAACCUACUCUGGGACUUUCACACCACGACUGCCCAGAAGUUUUCCAGUCACUCAAGAGAAAUCUGUUAGGUCAACUAUUUCUAUGACCAUGAUGUAUAGCUGGAACCAAAGGAAACUUUAACAACAGCGCCAUUGUUUAGACAAAUUGAUCUCAGAGAACGACAAUAGUAUUGAACCAGGCUUGCAAAUAACUACCCAAAAUUUACCAGUCCCCCAAAGUUUAUAAUCCUUUCCCUUCUAGAGAGAAAGAAGCUGUAAAAUAUAAAGCAUCCACGUUUGCAAACUAAGAAGCCAAUAUAAAAUUUUUUGUGGAUAGACUUCCAGGAAAAUGUCAAAAUGAAUUUUAUUAUAGAAUUUAUUAAAAGAAUUUCCUUUGAAGAUUAAUAAUCUGAGUAAUAAUAAAAGAAAGUCCUUUUCUGAAGUGGUAGUUUUGUAUAUACCCAUGGUGAACAGCACAUUUCUAUCUUCUCUUGUUAUAAAAUCAUAGAAAUAAAAAAAAUCCGUUUCAAUGUGAUAAGUUUAGGUUAAAAUGAGGUUAAAUUUCCUGACAAGGCUUGUUGAAAUAAUAUCCUUCCAGGGAAAACUGUUAAAUUGCCUUUGAAGAUAUUUUAAGUUAAGAUUUCUGGUUCAUGUGAUUUCACACAUAUGUUCCUCUAUUCUAUAAAAUGUCUCCAACUUUUUUUCUUUCUUUAAUAAAUGCCUAAAGCGUAUUAACAAAGGCACAUUUUUACAAGUUCUUUUCAUCUUUGUUACUGAUGGGGCUAAGCAGCGAUAUACAAAAUAGAACAGUGUAACAUUGCUUUCUGUGUAGAGUAAUUAUCUCAAACAAUAACAACAAAACAAUGACAGCAGCAACACAAACCACAGAAAUGUUUUAUCCUGUCAUUGAAGAUUCUUCCUAAACUUUUAACUCUUUUAAUGCCAUACAAAGAUAUGUGACCUCAUCAUUAUAACAUUUGCAUAAGGAUACUAAAUAUUCAGAAUAGGAUUUAAUACAAUUAUCACUAUGUGAAUUGGUCUUCAGGUCUAGUUACUUAUCAGAAAAAUGGACUAUUAGAUAUAAAAGGGACCUAAAAGAGCUUCUAAGCUCGUGUUUCUUAAUAUGUAGUCCAUGAACCAUCUGUAUCCAAAUGACCUGGUCUGCUCAUUUAAAAAAGGCUAUACAGGCAUCACUAAUUAGCAAUUUUGGAGGUAGGUCUUAUGAAUCUAGA